GAUGAACGCUGGCUACAGGCUUAACACAUGCAAGUCGAGGGGAAACGACGGGGAAGCUUGCUUCCCCGGGCGUCGACCGGCGCACGGGUGAGUAACGCGUAUCCAACCUGCCUCUGACUGAGGGAUAACCCGUCGAAAGUCGGCCUAAUACCUCAUGGCAUCGUCUGCGGGCAUCCAACGACGAUUAAAGAUUUCAUCGGUCAGGGAUGGGGAUGCGUCUGAUUAGCUUGUUGGCGGGGUAACGGCCCACCAAGGCUACGAUCAGUAGGGGUUCUGAGAGGAAGGUCCCGCACAUUGGAACUGAGACACGGUCCAAACUCCUACGGGAGGCAGCAGUGAGGAAUAUUGGUCAAUGGGCGGGAGCCUGAACCAGCCAAGUAGCGUGCAGGAUGACGGCCCUAUGGGUUGUAAACUGCUUUUAUGCGGGGAUAAAGUGAGGGACGUGUCCUUCAUUGCAGGUACCGCAUGAAUAAGGACCGGCUAAUUCCGUG
rnacentral:rRNA from 1 species